rfam:Picea glauca, whole genome shotgun sequence.
AUGUACAUUCCUACAACAUAGAAUUAAUGCAAUGGAUCCCAUUAUAACUCCAUAGUUAAGAACGCUUAGGAUAGAGUAGUACUAGGAUGGGUGACUGCCUGGGAAGUCCUAUUGUUUUACAUG